CAGAGGUCAGCAGUCAGAGCUCCUCCACAAAUCAAGGACUCAACCAGGCAGAGAGUCAAGUUUACAGCUCUCUGCUUUAUGGUGAUACUUCUGAGUAUGAAACAAUCCAGCCAGCCUCUAACAAUAGUGAUACUUCCGAUUAUGAAACAAUCCAGCCAACCUCUAACUAUAAAUCCAUUGAAUGCUAAAAGAGUCACUAUAGUGAGAAGAAAACAACAAGG